CCUACGGGAGGCAGCAGUGAGGAAUAUUGGUCAAUGGACGAGAGUCUGAACCAGCCAAGUAGCGUGAAGGAUGACUGCCCUAUGGGUUGUAAACUUCUUUUAUAUGGGAAUAAAACGUUCCACGUGUGGGAUUUUGUAUGUACCAUAUGAAUAAGGAUCGGCUAACUCCGUGCCAGCAGCCGCGGUAAUACGGAGGAUCCGAGCGUUAUCCGGAUUUAUUGGGUUUAAAGGGAGCGUAGGUGGAUUGUUAAGUCAGUUGUGAAAGUUUGCGGCUCAACCGUAAAAUUGCAGUUGAAACUGGCAGUCUUGAGUACAGUAGAGGUGGGCGGAAUUCGUGGUGUAGCGGUGAAAUGCUUAGAUAUCACGAAGAACUCCGAUUGCGAAGGCAGUUCACUGGACUGCAACUGACACUGAGGCUCGAAAGUGUGGGUAUCAAACAGUAUUAGAUACCCCUGUAGUC
rnacentral:rRNA from 1 species